rnacentral:rRNA from 1 species
UACGUAGGGUGCGAGCGUUAAUCGGAAUUACUGGGCGUAAAGCGUGCGCAGGCGGUUUUGUAAGCCAGAUGUGAAAUCCCCGGGCUCAACCUGGGAAUGGCAUUUGGGACUGCAAGGCUCGAGUGCGGCAGAGGAGACUGGAAUUCCUGGUGUAGCAGUGAAAUGCGUAGAUAUCGGGAGGAACACCAGUGGCGAAGGCGACUUCCUGGCCUGUUCUUGACGCUGAGGCGCGAAAGCUAGGGGAGCAAACGGG